AGGGAAUCUUCCACAAUGGACGCAAGUCUGAUGGAGCAACGGCCGCGUGAGUGAAGAAGGUUUUCGGACCGUAAAGCUCUGUUGUUGGUGAAGAAGGAUAGAGGUAGUAACUGGCCUUUAUUUGACGGUAAUCAACCAGAAAGUCACGGCUAACUACGUGCCAGCAGCCGCGGUAAUACGUAGGUGGCAAGCGUUGUCCGGAUUUAUUGGGCGUAAAGCGAGCGCAGGCGGAAGAAUAAGUCUGAUGUGAAAGCCCUCGGCUUAACCGAGGAAUUGCAUCGGAAACUGUUUUUCUUGAGUGCAGAAGAGGAGAGUAGAACUCCAUGUGUAGCGGUGGAAUGCGUAGAUAUAUGGAAGAAUACCAGUGGCGAAGGCGGCUCUCUGGUCUGCAACUGACGCUGAGGCUCGAAAGCAUGGGUAGCGAACAGGAUUAGAUACCCUGGUAGUCCAUGCCGUAAACGAUGAGUGCUAAGUGUUGGGAGGCUUCCGCCUCUCAGUGCUGCAGCUAACGCAUUAAGCACUCCG
rnacentral:rRNA from 1 species